rnacentral:rRNA from 1 species
UACGUAGGUGGCAAGCGUUGUCCGGAUUUACUGGGUGUAAAGGGCGCGUAGGCGGGAUUGCAAGUCAGAUGUGAAAUCUCCGGGCUCAACCCGGAAAUUGCAUUUGAAACUGUAGUUCUUGAGUAUCGGAGAGGCAAGCGGAAUUCCUAGUGUAGCGGUGAAAUGCGUAGAUAUUAGGAGGAACACCAGUGGCGAAGGCGGCUUGCUGGACGACAACUGACGCUGAGGCGCGAAAGCGUGGGGAG